rnacentral:rRNA from 1 species
AUUGAACGCUGGCGGAAUGCUUUACACAUGCAAGUCGAACGGCAGCACGGGGGCAACCCUGGUGGCGAGUGGCGAACGGGUGAGUAAUACAUCGGAACGUGCCCAGUCGUGGGGGAUAACUACGCGAAAGCGUAGCUAAUACCGCAUACGAUCUACGGAUGAAAGCGGGGGAUCGCAAGACCUCGCGCGAUUGGAGCGGCCGAUGGCAGAUUAGGUAGUUGGUGGGGUAAAGGCUCACCAAGCCUUCGAUCUGUAGCUGGUCUGAGAGGACGACCAGCCACACUGGGACUGAGACACGGCCCAGACUCCUGCGGGAGGCAGCAGUGGGGAAUUUUGGACAAUGGGCGCAAGCCUGAUCCAGCCAUUCCGCGUGCAGGAUGAAGGCCCUCGGGUUGUAAACUGCUUUUGUACGGAACGAAACGCGCUGAGCUAAUACCUCGGCGUAAUGACGGUACCGUAAGAAUAAGCACCGGCUAACUACGUGCCAGCAGCC